rnacentral:tRNA from 1 species
CGGGGCGUAGCGCAGAUUGGCUAGCGCACUUGCUUGGGGUGCAAGGGGUCGGCGGUUCGAAUCCGCCCGCCCCGACCA